rnacentral:lncRNA from 1 species
UAAUGCAAAGCCCCUAGCUAGAUUGUUCUAUUGCUUAGAUAGAAGAUGAAACCAUAAAGAACUCUUUUAUCAAAACUCUAUAUGUCACUGAAUAAUUGAUAUUGAAACUUAUACACCUCUAAAUAUAACCACUGCUUACUCAUCAUGGCCUUGAAAGAAUUAUUUUCUCAAUAAAGUAACUAGUAAAAACACUAAGGAGGCAUCCGUCACCUCUGGACAAACCUCCGGUGUCCGCCACCGCCAACCCCACCAAGGCAGAGCAACGACAUCAUUAUGAGUGAUAAGAGCAAGGUGAUGCUCAAGGAGGCCGUGGUAGUGGGGAGGCUGGCGGUGGAGGUGGGCUUUAGCCCUAUCAAAGAUGAAAACGAAGAUAAGGGGGAGAAAGAUGAAAGAUAGGGGCUUCAUCCCUUUCUAGUCAUCAACGAAAGCUUAGCAGUGAAAAUGAAGAUGAAAGGGAGUGGGGAGAAAGAUCUUCAUAGUACCUCGGGUCCUCAAUGGAAUUGCAGUCGGCUGAUGAUAGGGGGCUCGUCCUCAAUGGAACAAGCUUCAGAGAAGACCGACAACUGGAGACCAAUGAUGAGGGACUGCCGGAUUAGAUUUUGGAGUGGCCGUGGAGGUGGAGACACAAGAAAUCGAGGAGGAGAAGUGGAGAACAAGGUACCCUAGCCCUAAGCUUCAAUUUGGGACUUAGGAAUGGCCGAGUGGGGGAGUCAGGACUUCGAUUUGGGAUUUAGGAGUCACCGAGUUGGGAGUUCGAAACUCUUUUGA